UACGUAGGGUGCAAGCGUUGUCCGGAAUUAUUGGGCGUAAAGAGCUCGUAGGCGGUCUGUCGCGUCUGCUGUGAAAUCUCAGGGCUUAACCCUGAGCGUGCAGUGGGUACGGGCAGACUAGAGUGUGGUAGGGGAGACUGGAAUUCCUGGUGUAGCGGUGAAAUGCGCAGAUAUCAGGAGGAACACCGAUGGCGAAGGCAGGUCUCUGGGCCACUACUGACGCUGAGAAGCGAAAGCAUGGGGAGCGAACAGG
rnacentral:rRNA from 1 species